rnacentral:lncRNA from 1 species
CCUUGAGUUGAGAGGGACAGGAAAAUGAAUCUAUUGAGCUUGCAUCAAAUGAAGGAAUCCGUUAUUUUCUGCAACUGGGUAGCAUGGGGUUACGGAUAAUAAAGCCAGAUCCAGGGCUUUGGGUUACAUCAUAAUUCACUCAUUCUUAUUCUCUCUCUCUCUCUCUCUCUCUCUCUCUCUCUCUCUCUCCUCUCCCCCUUCCAGCCAAAAAGAUAAAGCACACACAGUUUCUCUCAGGAUCCAAGUAACAAGCCUUAAGAAAGAUGAUGAGCAUCCUCACAUAACGAAUGGCUCUUUCAAAGCCCGUCACCCUGCCUUGGGGACAGAGGACUGGAAUAGCCUGUCAGACUGCCUGCUGCUUCUGUAUCUUGGAUCAACAUCAAGGGUGUUGCUACCCUGGGAUCUGGAUCCUCAGUGUAUCACAACCCCAAGUGGUCUUCAAACCAAAGCAGAUCAUUGCGCAACCUCUGCCCUUUCUGACUUGUACAGCCUUGCUCAGCGACAACUUACUCAGAGAGAAUAUUGAACCCCAGAGCCUGUCUCCCGCGGUGGGAGGACAAAUAGAUUUUUAACUGGAUCCAGCAAAGCAGUCACCCUCACAAGUCUGAGCAUGACUCUUUCAUAGGGCAGUCUUCCUCUGAUCCUCUGGGGACAGUUUUCCCUUAUUUCUAAAGCCCACCUGCUGUGUGACUUAAUCAAGUCACUUCACCUCUCUGGGCUCAUUUUUAAAAUGAGGAGGAGGUUGAAUUAGGUGAGUUUUGUGGUCCUUCUUUCUAACAACCUACACACUGAUGUAAGGCUCUUACGUUUGGGAUGUGUGUAACACAUUGAUACUCCAUCUUGUCGCGCACUCUGGUGUCUUGGAGUUGAAGACCGGGUACUAACCCCAGCCCCAGACAGUGUGUCUACAAUUGCAGGGACAAGAGCAAAGCCAGGCUGAGGGAUAAGCACUGGCUAGAGCCACAUGAAAAUCUAAGAGAAAAGCAGAAGCAUCCUUAAUAAUGUGGCCAUUCCUUUCUCCUUCUCUCCUCUGGGAUUAAAGCUUGUGUGCUGACUGUUGAAAAAAUCAGUCAUUAACGGCCAGGAAAUGACUUCCCCAUCCAUCAGAACGCUGCUCAGCCGUGUUCCAGCUUCCCCCUUUCCCUGUGUAAUUAUUCUCAUCCACCACUGAUUACAGUUUAUAAUAGCCAUAAUUCUCCUCGAAUCAAUCAUGACUUUACUGGAGCACGGAGUUACCCAUAGAAACAUGAGGGAAGGCAGAUACCCCCGGCCGGCCUUGCUUUUUUGGAAAUUGCCUGCUUUCAUCUGGAUCUCAUUUAAUCAUGUGGAUGCUCAAAGCAAAGCUAAGAUUUUAAUUCAAAGGCAUUUUUUUCAUUCAC